rnacentral:lncRNA from 1 species
GAGGCGUGACGGGGUUGAAGGAGGCAGACGCUGGCCCUGGACUCCGGACCGUGGGGGAGAGAGAUGUUAUCCCCGAGAAGAACGGUACGGGCAGGCCGCCCGGGGAGCAGGGUACACUCUGCCCCACAGGGCCUGCUUGACCUUGUCUCCUGCGCCCCUUGGAUUCCCAGGCCACCUUAGAACUCGGACCAAGGCUGCUGGCCAGCAGGGCUGUCCCAGAGGCUAAGGCCCACAGCCCCUGACCCCUGGACCCCUUUAAUCCCAGUCUUACUCUUUAUCUAUUUUUCCUUCCUAAGAUAAACACCCACCCGCACCACGUCCUUCAAGAACAGGACCCUGACCCCUGCCUUGCCUUCAGCUCCUCACCUGGAACAUGGGACAAGGACAGCCAUCCCUGCUGGCAUCCUGGGCCUGUGGGAUUCCACUGGGCCUCAGCGUCCCCAUCCCCAUCAUGGGCACAGGGGCGGCCCCAGCGAGCCGGCCUAGUUGGGAGAAACAAUAAAAUAGUGCCGUCACCGCCGUUUUCAUCAUUUCCCCAAACAUGGGGGCUCCCCUGGCCCCACGCGUUCCCUGCUCCUGGGGGCUCUGGCACUUCGGGAGGCCUCUGCUGGCCCUGGUCUACCCUGUCCACACCCGGGGACACGGCCCUGCUCAUACACCCACCCUGGCUCCCCGCUGCCCCCACAUCCCCAGUGUCCAUUCCUCUCCUGCCUGUGACCAAGUGGUCUGGCCUCGUGCCUUGGCACCUGCAGGGCCCAUCACCUCGCCUGGGUCAGCCUCCACCUGCCGGCCUCACCCCCACGUGUGCUCAUCACCAUGGCUACUCCGGGGCCGGCCAAGUCUAGUCCUGACCCCAGCCCUCCCCCACAGGGGCCCAGGAGGCCCCUGGCUGUGACAGACACAAACGCACCCAGGCACUCCGGGCUGCUAGGUUCGGUUCAGUGAAAUUUAUUGUAGGUUGAAAAAAAAUCAGCAUUCACCUGUUUAGUGUACAAAAAGGACACUAGAUCUUUUAAGAAAAUAUUAGGAAACUGAAGACGCGGAUGCCUUUCAAUCGUAACAUUUUGGCAAAAGUGAAAAGUUCUUGUAAACACCAACUCCAUGGCUCAAAAUAGUUUUUCUCCACAGUACAAUAUUAAAAAGGGGGUGCAAAACACAGUAUCAAUAAGUUAGACCAUAUUUAAUCAGCCAGAACUUUUGUCCAUCAACCCCCAAAGCACAAAACUUUUUCUUAGCUUCAUAAUUCCUUAAAAGGAGAAAAACAACAACAACAAAAAACAACAAAAAGCCAACAACAAAAAGGAAAUUCAACUGAGAGUCCCUUGAACCGGUUCCCAGGGCAGAGGGCCGGGUCAGCCCCGCGGGCUGCAGCCUCCUUAAAUAAUCCCUUUUCACCCGGGUCCGCGCGUCCGGCUGAGGACAGUCUACGCGUACAACGCGGCUGUCUGCAGAACUCGGGGGGGUCCCUGGAGUCUGCUCAACCCUUAUCCCACUCCAUCCCAAAUGAAAAAAAACAAAACAACCACUGAAACAUGAGGGGUCAGUUCCCUCGGUGCUCGGGGCAUCCCAGGGGUCCCAAGAAAGGAGCCUUGGGUGGGGCAGGCACACUGCCGGUGCCUCCGUGAGGGCGCCUGCUCUUUGGGAAACCGUUAGGAGACGUCCCCAUGGCUUGGAAAAAUAGACAUUUUUCUGCGUGAGCAUUUCUGCUCUCCCUGCCUCACUACUGUUGGCGACAGCACCCCCCACCCACCCAGCGCAUGACCCCAGGCUCCAGGUUGCAGCCUCUCCGUCUGCCUUCCCUGGUUGUGGCUUCGCUGAAUGCGGCCCUGAAUGUGAACACACGCCUCCGUCCCCACUGCACCCCGGCGGGGCCCUCACACACACGUACACACACAUACAUGUGGUCCCCCAACACUGGGGGACACUAGACUAGGCACAGCUACUAAGCAGCAAUGAUGGUGUCCAUGGAUCCCACGCCCCCCGCCCAGAGUGGGCGGACGGGGCACGUUUUCUGAGCUCACUCUCAGGGGGUCCCCUGACCCCAUCAACCCCCCCCCAGCCCCUCCCUGAGUGUAAACCCUGCGGUGACUCUGCUAAGAUGACCCCAAGACCCACAAGUGGACCGAGGGAUGGAGUGAGGUCAACAGCAUGGAGACCACACGGUCUCAGCGCGAGAAGAAAAGCAGCAGCAAAGGGGGAAAUGGAGAACGUAAUAAAAGAAAAUCCGACACUGUUGUUGCAGUGUGAGCUCGUAGCACAGAAAACCCCCAGUGACCCCCUACAGCUGAGGGCCUGAAAUAGCAGGGCAGGCCUGGUGGGCCGAGAGCCGCUCUGCCCCUCCGGCUCUCAGCAGCUGCUCUGGGGCCAGCUGGAGUUCUCGAAAUAGACCUGGGCGGGCCUCUACCCCCCUUAGAGCAGAGACCCCGUCCCGGCCUGGGUCGGGAGAGGCCCGGGGCUGUAGGGAGGGCCCGGGGCGGGAGCACAGCCAAACGUGGGCAUCAGCUGCACCCCCGCCCCUGCCCACCGCCCCCUCCUUGGUUCUCUCCUCAGCCCUCAGGAGCAAGACUUUCAGAUGGCAUCUGUAAUACUGCAGAAAGGACACAGGGCGGCAUCUAGACCCUGGUGUCCAAGGAGGGGAGGCACAGGUUUAGAAAAGAUGCUUUCUCUCUCAUACAAAAAUAGACUGAAGUCUCAUAAGCAGUAGCUAAAAGUGGCUGUCUUUGUAUAAAACUAG